CCUACGUGAGGCAGCAGUGAGGAAUAUUGGUCAAUGGCCGGAAGGCUGAACCAGCCAAGCCGCGUGAAGGACGAAGGUGCCAAGCAUUGUAAACUUCUUUUGUCAAGGCACAAAAUCAGGCUCGAGAGCCUGACCGAGGGUACUUAAAGAAAAAGCAUCGGCUAACUCCGUGACAGCAGCCGCGGUAAUACGUAGGAUGCGAGCGUUAUCCGGAUUUAUUGGGUUUAAAGGGUGCGUAGGCGGGUGGUUACGUCAGCGGUAAAAGCCCGGGGCUCAACCCCGGCGAGCCGUUGAAACUGGCUGUCUUGAGAUGUCGAGAGGUAUGCGGAAUGCGCAGUGUAGCGGUGAAAUGCUUAGAUAUUGCGCAGAACUCCGAUUGCGAAGGCAGCAUACCGGCGGCGAUCUGACGCUGAGGCACGAAAGCGUGGGUAUCGAACAGGAUUAGAUACCCGAGUAGUC
rnacentral:rRNA from 1 species